rnacentral:rRNA from 1 species
GGGUUGUGAGGUUAAGCGACUAAGCGUACACGGUGGAUGCCUAGGCAAUCAGAGGCGAUGAAGGACGUGCUAAUCUGCGAUAAGCGUCGGUAAGGUGAUAUGAACCGUUACAACCGACGAUUUCCGAAUGGGGAAACCCAGUGCAAUCCGUUGCACUAUCGUUUGAUGAAUACAUAGUCAAACGAAGCGAACCGGGGGAACUGAAACAUCUCAGUACCCCGAGGAAAAGAAAUCAACCGAGAUUCCCCUAGUAGCGGCGAGCGAACGGGGAGCAGCCCAGAGUCUUAAUCAGCAUUAGCAUCAGGAGAACGGUCUGGAAAGUCCGGCAGUAAAGGGUGAUAGCCCCGUAUCCGAAGGUGUUAGUGUUGUGAACUCGACGAGUAGGGCGGGACACGUGUUAUCCUGUCUGAAUAUGGGGGGACCAUCCUCCAAGGCUAAAUACUCCUGAUUGACCGAUAGUGAACCAGUACCGUGAGGGAAAGGCGAAAAGAACCCCGGCGAGGGGAGUGAAAUAGAACCUGAAACCGUGUACGUACAAGCAGUGGGAGCACCUUUAGGGUGUGACUGCGUACCUUUUGUAUAAUGGGUCAGCGACUUAUAUUCUGUAGCAAGGUUAACCGUAUAGGGGAGCCGUAGGGAAACCGAGUCUUAACUGGGCGAAUAAGUUGCAGGGUAUAGACCCGAAACCCGGUGAUCUAGCCAUGGGCAGGUUGAAGGUUGGGUAACACUAACUGGAGGACCGAACCGACUAAUGUUGAAAAAUUAGCGGAUGACUUGUGGCUGGGGGUGAAAGGCCAAUCAAACCGGGAGAUAGCUGGUUCUCCCCGAAAGCUAUUUAGGUAGCGCCUCGUGAACUCAUCUUCGGGGGUAGAGCACUGUUUCGACUAGGGGGUCAUCCCGACUUACCAACUCGAUGCAAACUACGAAUACCGAAGAAUGUUAUCACGGGAGACACACGGCGGGUGCUAACGUUCGUCGUGAAGAGGGAAACAACCCAGACCGCCAGCUAAGGUCCCAAAGUCAUAGUUAAGUGGGAAACGAAGUGGGAAGGCUCAGACAGCCAGGAUGUUGGCUUAGAAGCAGCCAUCAUUUAAAGAAAGCGUAAUAGCUCACUGGUCGAGUCGGCCUGCGCGGAAGAUGUAACGGGGCUAAACUAUGCACCGAAGCUGCGGCAGCGAACGUAUCACUUAAACUGAUUAAGUGAUACUCAAAUGUAUCAAAACGAUUGACGGAGCGAAGCGACGUCAAUGCGUCCAACAAAGUCGAGGCGGAAACGUCAGGCAGUCAGUUUAAGGAUACGUUCGUUGGGUAGGGGAGCGUUCUGUAAGCCUGUGAAGGUGUGCUGUGAGGCAUGCUGGAGGUAUCAGAAGUGCGAAUGCUGACAUAAGUAACGAUAAUGCGGGUGAAAAACCCGCACGCCGGAAGACCAAGGGUUCCUGUCCAACGUUAAUCGGGGCAGGGUGAGUCGACCCCUAAGGCGAGGCAGAAAUGCGUAGUCGAUGGGAAACGGGUUAAUAUUCCCGUACUGGUGAUAAUUGCGAUGGGGGGACGGAGAAGGCUAGGCUAUCCGGGCGACGGUUGUCCCGGUUUAAGGAUGUAGGCAGGUGAAUUAGGCAAAUCCGGUUCACUAUAUGCUGAGGUCCGAUGACGAGUCACUACGGUGAUGAAGUAGCUCAUGCCCCGCUUCCAGGAAAAGCCUCUAAGCUCUAGAUUAUCAUUAAUCGUACCCCAAACCGACACAGGUGGUCAGGUAGAGAAUACUCAGGCGCUUGAGAGAACUCGGGUGAAGGAACUAGGCAAAAUGGUGCCGUAACUUCGGGAGAAGGCACGCUGGCAUUAGGUGAAGUGAUUUACUCAUGGAGCUGAAGCCAGUCGCAGAUACCAGCUGGCUGCAACUGUUUAUUAAAAACACAGCACUGUGCAAACACGAAAGUGGACGUAUACGGUGUGACGCCUGCCCGGUGCUGGAAGGUUAAUUGAUGGGGUUAUCCGUAAGGAGAAGCUCUUGAUCGAAGCCCCAGUAAACGGCGGCCGUAACUAUAACGGUCCUAAGGUAGCGAAAUUCCUUGUCGGGUAAGUUCCGACCUGCACGAAUGGCGUAAUGAUGGCCAGGCUGUCUCCACCCGAGACUCAGUGAAAUUGAACUCGCUGUGAAGAUGCAGUGUACCCGCGGCAAGACGGAAAGACCCCGUGAACCUUUACUAUAGCUUGACACUGAACAUUGAGCCUUGAUGUGUAGGAUAGGUGGGAGGCUUCGAAGCGUGGACGCCAGUCUGCGUGGAGCCAACCUUGAAAUACCACCCUUUAAUGUUUGAUGUUCUAACGUUGCCCCAUUAUCUGGGGUGCGGACAGUGUCUGGUGGGUAGUUUGACUGGGGCGGUCUCCUCCCAAAGAGUAACGGAGGAGCACGAAGGUUGGCUAAGCAUGGUCGGACAUCAUGCGGUUAGUGCAAAGGCAUAAGCCAGCUUGACUGCGAGAGUGACGGCUCGAGCAGGUACGAAAGUAGGUCUUAGUGAUCCGGUGGUUCUGAAUGGAAGGGCCAUCGCUCAACGGAUAAAAGGUACUCCGGGGAUAACAGGCUGAUACCGCCCAAGAGUUCAUAUCGACGGCGGUGUUUGGCACCUCGAUGUCGGCUCAUCACAUCCUGGGGCUGAAGUAGGUCCCAAGGGUACGGCUGUUCGCCGUUUAAAGUGGUACGCGAGCUGGGUUUAGAACGUCGUGAGACAGUUCGGUCCCUAUCUGCCGUGGGCGUUGGAAGAUUGAAAGGGGCUGCUCCUAGUACGAGAGGACCGGAGUGGACGCACCACUGGUGUUCGGGUUGUCAUGCCAAUGGCAUUGCCCGGUAGCUAAGUGCGGAAGAGAUAACCGCUGAAAGCAUCUAAGCGGGAAACUUGCCUUGAGAUGAGUCUUCCCUGACUCUUUAAGAGUCCUAAAGGAACGUUUAAGACUAAGACGUUGAUAGGUUGGGUGUGUAAGCGUAGCGAUACGUUGAGCUAACCAAUACUAAUGAACCGUGAGGCUUAACCUGACAACACCGAAGGUGUUUUAG